UACGAGGAGUGCAAGCGUUGCUCGGAAUUAUUGGGCGUAAAGGGUAGGUAGGUGGUCUGAUUUGUCAGGGGUGAAAGCCUUGGGCUUAACCCAAGAAGUGCCCCUGAAACGGUCAGACUGGAGUCUUGGAGAGGGUCGUGGAAUUCCCGGUGUAGCGGUGAAAUGCGUAGAGAUCGGGAGGAACACCAGAGGCGAAGGCGGCGACCUGGACAAGUACUGACACUCAACUACGAAAGCGUGGGUAGCAAACAGG
rnacentral:rRNA from 1 species